AUGGGGAUGAUGCCAGAGGCAGUAAAUGAACCGGUGGGAGCACAUUUAUUGAAACAGGUAGCUGUAUGCCAGCAACAGAACACUGAAUCUGCAGUCAUUGGAUCCAAGUUUGAGGGGUCUGGCUGUCACGUCUUAGGCAGGUCCCGUGAGUCAUGGUUAAGCAGAAAAGGAGAAGGGAAAGAGAACUAUUCGAUACGGAAGGACGGGAAGAGAUGGCAAGUAAUUCUAGAGAGUAUAGAGUGGGGAGACUAUCUGUCUGCCUUGCCAGGCCCUGAUUAUCUAGCUAGAUAUACUAUCUCCGUGGAACAUCACCAUUUAAUGUCUACCAAGGUAUUAGUUGGUUAAUGAAGAGAGUAAUCAGCCUCCCCAGUGUCCUCCUUCCAUCACCAGGGCAGCAAAGGUGGUUCCUAAUAGUGGUCUCCUAGAGACAAUACUCUUCACCUUGUUGAAGUCAAAGCAGAGAAUGAGAUGACUUUAGGAGAUGCAGUGCUGCU
rnacentral:lncRNA from 1 species